AUAUAUAUAUAUAUAGCUUUCUCUCUCUCUCUCUCUCUCUCUCUCUCUCUCUCUCUAUAUAUAUAUAUAUAUAGAGAGAGAGAGAGAGAGAGAGCUAUAUAUAUAUAUAUAGA